GACGAACGCUGGCGGCGUGCUUAACACAUGCAAGUCGAACGGAAAGGCCCUGCUUUUGUGGGGUGCUCGAGUGGCGAACGGGUGAGUAACACGUGAGUAACCUGCCCUUGACUUUGUGAUAACUUCAGGAAACUGGGGCUAAUACCGGAUAGGAGCUCCUGCUGCAUGGUGGUGGUUGGAAAGUUUCGGCGGUUGGGGAUGGACUCGCGGCUUAUCAGCUUGUUGGUGGGGUAGUGGCUUACCAAGGCUUUGACGGGUAGCCGGCCUGAGAGGGUGACCGGACACAUUGGGACUGAGAUACGGCGCAGACUCGUACGGGAGGCAGCAGUGGGGAAUAUUGCAGAAUGGGCGGAAGCCUGAUGCAGCAACGCCGCGUGCGGGAUGACGGCCUUCGGGUUGUAAACCGCUUUCGAAUGUGACGAAGAGUGAGUGACGGUAAUGGGUAAAGAAGCACCGGCUAACUACGUG
rnacentral:rRNA from 1 species